ACCAUCCAUGUCUUGGGGAGCAAAAUGUCCAAUGAUCGUUAAGUGAGGGCAUUGAUGCUGACACCAUUUAAAAUCUAUUUAGAUUCCCGCCCUGUUGCAACCUUGAUUGCAACUGAGAGGCGGAAUUUUUGAAAGC
rnacentral:ncRNA from 1 species